rnacentral:rRNA from 1 species
GUGGGGAAUAUUGGACAAUGGGCGAAAGCCUGAUCCAGCCAUGCCGCGUGUGUGAAGAAGGUCUUCGGAUUGUAAAGCACUUUAAGUUGGGAGGAAGGGCAGUAAGUUAAUACCUUGCUGUUUUGACGUUACCGACAGAAUAAGCACCGGCUAACUUCGUGCCAGCAGCCGCGGUAAUACGAAGGGUGCAAGCGUUAAUCGGAAUUACUGGGCGUAAAGCGCGCGUAGGUGGUUCAGCAAGUUGGAGGUGAAAUCCCCGGGCUCAACCUGGGAACUGCCUCCAAAACUACUGGGCUAGAGUACGGUAGAGGGUAGUGGAAUUUCCUGUGUAGCGGUGAAAUGCGUAGAUAUAGGAAGGAACACCAGUGGCGAAGGCGACUACCUGGACUGAUACUGACACUGAGGUGCGAAAGCGUGGGGAGCAAACAGGAUUAGAAACCCUGGUAGUCC